GUGGGGAAUAUUGGACAAUGGGCGCAAGCCUGAUCUAGCCAUGCCGCGUGAGCGAUGAAGGCCUUAGGGUUGUAAAGCUCUUUCGUGGGGGAAGAUAAUGACUGUACCCCAAGAAGAAGCCCCGGCUAACUCCGUGCCAGCAGCCGCGGUAAUACGGAGGGGGCUAGCGUUGUUCGGAAUUACUGGGCGUAAAGCGCACGUAGGCGGACUGGAAAGUCAGGGGUGAAAUCCCGGGGCUCAACCCCGGAACUGCCUUUGAAACUCCCAGUCUUGAGUUCGAGAGAGGUGAGUGGAAUUCCGAGUGUAGAGGUGAAAUUCGUAGAUAUUCGGAGGAACACCAGUGGCGAAGGCGGCUCACUGGCUCGAUACUGACGCUGAGGUGCGAAAGCGUGGGGAGCAAACAGGAUUAGAUACCCCGGUAGUCC
rnacentral:rRNA from 1 species